rnacentral:rRNA from 1 species
CCCUUAGAUGUCCGGGGCUGUACGCGCGCUACACUGAAGGAAUCAGCGUGCUAAAACCAUUGUCGAAAGGCAUUGGUAAACCCAUUAAAAUCCUACGUGAUUGGGAUCGGGAAUUGCAAUUAUUUCCCUUGAACGAGGAAUUCCCAGUAAGUGUGGGUCAUAAGCUCGCGUUGAUUACGUCCCUGCCCUUUGUACACACCGCCCGUCGCUGCCCGGGACUGAGCCGUUUCGAGAAAAGCGGGGACUGCUGCUGUCGGGGCUUUCGGGCCUUGGCUUCGGUGGAAACCGCUUUAAUCGCAGUGGCUUGAACCGGGCAAAAGUCGUAACA